rnacentral:rRNA from 1 species
AGAGAGCGGCGGACGGGUGAGUAACGCGUGGGUAACCUGCCCUGUACACACGGAUAACAUACCGAAAGGUAUGCUAAUACGGGAUAACAUAUGAGAGUCACAUGACUUUUAUAUCAAAGCUUUUGCGGUACAGGAUGGACCCGCGUCUGAUUAGCUAGUUGGUAAGGUAACGGCUUACCAAGGCGACGAUCAGUAGCCGACCUGAGAGGGUGAUCGGCCACACUGGAACUGAGACACGGUCCAGACUCCUACGGGAGGCAGCAGUGGGGAAUAUUGCACAAUGGGCGAAAGCCUGAUGCAGCAACGCCGCGUGAGCGAUGAAGGCCUUCGGGUCGUAAAGCUCUGUCCUCAAGGAAGAUAAUGACGGUACUUGAGGAGGAAGCCCCGGCUAACUACGUGCCAGCAGCCGCGGUAAUACGUAGGGGGCUAGCGUUAUCCGGAAUUACUGGGCGUAAAGGGUGCGUAGGUGGUUUUUUAAGUCAGAAGUGAAAGGCUACGGCUCAACCGUAGUAAGCUUUUGAAACUAAAGAACUUGAGUGCAGGAGAGGAGAGUAGAAUUCCUAGUGUAGCGGUGAAAUGCGUAGAUAUUAGGAGGAAUACCAGUAGCGAAGGCGGCUCUCUGGACUGUAACUGACACUGAGGCACGAAAGCGUGGGGAGCAAACAGGAUUAGAUACCCUGGUAGUCCACGCCGUAAACGAUGAGUACUAGGUGUCGGGGGUUACCCCCCUCGGUGCCGCAGCUAACGCAUUAAGUACUCCGCCUGGGAAGUACGCUCGCAAGAGUGAAA